rnacentral:miRNA from 1 species
GUAUUAGGUUGGUGCAAAAGUAAUUGCAGUUUUUGCCGUUACUUUCAUGGCAAAAACUGCAAUUA